rnacentral:tRNA from 1 species
UGGGGAUAUAGUUUAUUCGGUAAAACAUAUGCUUUGCACGUAUAAAAAGUCAGUUCAAUUCUGGCUAUCUCCAU